CCUACGGGGGGCUGCAGUGGGGAAUAUUGGACAAUGGGCGAAAGCCUGAUCCAGCCAUGCCGCGUGUGUGAAGAAGGCCUUCGGGUUGUAAAGCACUUUCAGUGGGGAAGAAAGCCUUGGGGCUAAUACCCUCGAGGAAGGACAUCACCCACAGAAGAAGCACCGGCUAACUCCGUGCCAGCAGCCGCGGUAAUACGGAGGGUGCGAGCGUUAAUCGGAAUUACUGGGCGUAAAGCGCGCGUAGGCGGUCUGAUAAGCCGGUUGUGAAAGCCCCGGGCUCAACCUGGGAACGGCAUCCGGAACUGUCAGGCUGGAUUGCAGGGGAGGAAGGUAGAAUUCCCGUGGUAGGGGUGAAAUGCGUGGAGAUCGGGAGGAAUCCCGGUGGCGAGGGCGGCCUCUGGACUGACACUGACGCUGAGGUGCGAAAGCGUGGGUAGCAAACAGGAUUAGAUACCCCUGUAGUC
rnacentral:rRNA from 1 species